CGCUGCUCCUGCUGCUCCCACCGGCCCCGAGUCCUGCCUGGCACCGAGCACUGUCUCGGUGUGAGCCAGCCUGACCCAGUGCCCCGGACGCCAGCUUGGCCCGGACACUUGCCUGCCAUGGGAACAGAUACACCUUGAAAACGUGACCCUGCUGCCCGACCCCGCGUGCGAUGGGCACAGCACGGAACACCUUCCCCUGUGCUCAAAGCCAGUGUUGUGGCUCCUCUGUGCCUGCUAACAGGGGAGGGGUGGAGGCACAGAAGGAAAUGGGGAUUUUUAGCCAAUAAAUUUCCCUCUUGACAGUAAGGGGAAAAAAAUGCAAUGGGAUUUUGAUGUGAGCUGGGGGCAAGACUUGCUCUAAAAAACCCUAAACCAAGAGCAAGGCCUUUUUUAGUGCAUGUUUCCUUUUUAAAAGGACUGCACCUGUGAUGCAAAGGUGGGAGGUCAGCUUGGUCAUUGGAUAAAAAGGGGACUCCCAGGAGAUUGCCCUCAGGGAUUCAGCUAUGUAGUAGCUGCAGGGAGGCUGUGUUUUCUGUUACUCAGCUCUCAGAGGCAGCAUUGCUGCGUAUGAAAGUGUGUAACUUCUGUGGGAGUUGUGUUGGUUGUAUAGAAAUGGUUUUGAGUGUUUUUGCUUUAGUUAGAAAACUUCACCUUACAGUUAUAGAGACCUUUCUGUGUUGUGUUUGCACAGCUUCUUUCAGCCUCAGCUCAGAAUAUUCCUCUCUGGCCCAUUACCUGCCUUCUCCAGCCCUGAUUCCUCCCAGGUGAGCUAUGCUGUCAGUGAGCCAAAUCGACUGCUCAUUACAGGAGGAAGCCACUUUGUGCUUGGAAUGAUCGCUGAAGGUGGUCAGCAGCUGAGGAUUUUUCACUGUGGGACCUGAUCCCAAUUGCUGAUGUUGAACAAUUGCUUUAUUUAUUGCACAGAAAGACAGCUGCCUACUAUUCCACUUUAUUUAUUCCUCACUUUAAUUUCUUAGCUGAAAGUACUAUGCUAAUACAGAAUGUCUCCAAACAGGGUGACAGAGGCAAAGGCAUAAGGUGUGUGCCAAGUUCAUGACACAGGAGUCACAGCUGGAGAGGUACUUCCCAGCUGGAAAGGAGGAAGAGCCAAAGGACAGAGUUAGGGGGCAAGAAGAGUCUAACAAUGAAGGGCUGAAGUCUGAUUGCUGAAGGUCUUCAGGUGCUUAAAUACUCCCUGGGGUCCGGUCUCAAUCAAGAACAUUAUAAAGAACUGAUGUUGGCAGAUAGCGUGUGUUUUGUAAUC